UGGGGAUUGGGCUAGUGACAGGCCGCCGAGUUUUGGCCUCGGAAGGGCGGGUUUGAAUCCUGCAUCCCCAGCCA
rnacentral:tRNA from 1 species